AUGUUCUCUACAUCUCUACUGCUCCUGCUGGCAGCUGCUUCAUAUGUGUUCUGCGCUACUGAGCUCACCCAGCCAGACUCAGUGGUUAUAAAGCCAGGAGAGAUUUUAACCAUCACCUGUAGAGUGUCUGGAGCUUCUAUCACUGAUAGCAGCAGCCACUAUGGAACAGCUUGGAUUCGAAAACCUGCAGGAAAAUCUCUGGAAUGGAUCAACAUAAUUGAUAAUGAUGGGGAUAUUUACAAGGAGCAUUCACUUAAAGACAAGUCUGUCAUCUCUCGUGCCACUUCCAGUAACAAUGUGACCUUACAGGGACAGAAUACGCAGACUGAAGACACAGCGGUGUAUUACUGUAUUACACAACAAGCUGCAGUGUUACACAAAAACAUCUUCAUCACAACAUUAUAA